CCUACGGGAGGCAGCAGUGGGGAAUCUUGCGCAAUGGGCGAAAGCCUGACGCAGCAACGCCGCGUGCGGGAAGAAGGCUUUCGGGCUGUAAACCGCUUUCAGCAGGAACGAAAAUGACGGUACCUGCAGAAGAAGGAGCGGCCAACUAUGUGCCAGCAGCCGCGGUGAUACAUAGGCUUCAAGCGUUGUCCGGAUUUAUUGGGCGUAAAGAGUUCGUAGGCGGUCGAGUAAGUCGGGUGUGAAAAUUCUGGGCUCAACCCAGAGACGCCACCCGAUACUGCUUGACUUGAGUUCGAUAGGGGAGUGGGGAAUUCCUAGUGUAGCGGUGAAAUGCGCAGAUAUUAGGAGGAACACCGGUGGCGAAGGCGCCACUCUGGAUCGAUACUGACGCUGAGGAACGAAAGCAUGGGUAGCAAACAGGAUUAGAUACCCUGGUAGUCCAUGCCGUAAACGGUGGGCACUAGGUGUGGGUUUCUAUUAACGAAAUCCGCGCCGUCGCUAACGCAUUAAGUGCCCCGCCUGGGGGAGGUACGGUCGCAGACUAAACUACAAAGAAGUUAGACGGCGUGAGACGUGCCGAACGGACGACCGACGAGGGAGUAGG
rnacentral:rRNA from 1 species